CGUAGGGUGCGAGCGUUAAUCGGAAUUACUGGGCGUAAAGCGUGCGCAGGCGGUUCGUUAAGUUCGUUGUGAAAGCCCCGGGCUCAACCUGGGAAUGGCAAUGGAAACUGGCGGGCUUGAAUGCGGCAGAGGGGGUGGAAUUCCGCGUGUAGCAGUGAAAUGCGUAGAGAUGCGGAGGAACACCGAUGGCGAAGGCAGCCCCCUGGGCCGACAUUGACGCUCAGGCACGAAAGCGUGGGGAGCAAACAGGAUUAGAUACCCUGGUAGUCCACGCCCUAAACGAUGCUCACUAGGUGUUGGGGAAGCGAUUCCUUGGUACCGUAGCUAACGCGUGAAGUAAGCCGCCUGGGGAGUACGGCCGCAAGGUUA
rnacentral:rRNA from 1 species